rnacentral:rRNA from 1 species
GCCAGCAGCCAUAUCACCCUGUACCUCACAACUGGCAGCCCACUGAAGCUCAGCAGGUGUGAGCCUGGUCAGUACCUGGAUGGGAGACCUCCUGGGGAAAAACUAAGGUUGCUGCUGGAA